CGGGGUGUAGCGCAGUUUGGUAGCGCGCCUGCUUUGGGAGCAGGAGGCCCCGGGUUCAAAUCCCGGCACCCCGACCA
rnacentral:tRNA from 2 species